GCAAGCACCCGGUGCGAGAGCAAAGGGCUUCAUAGGUCAAGUGCCUAAAGCGGUCCUCCCCUCCAGCUCUUUCUUGCUUGGGCAGCGCGGGUGACAGAUCUGAGCAGCGCGUCCCGGCUGAGAGAUGCCCUCAGCCUCCUGGACAGCUGCGGCUUUACACGUGGGUUCUUCCUUACCUCGCCGGAAAAGCACGAGGCGCAAUUUUCUGCCCAAGAGCAGCCCUGGACCCGCGGCCGAGGGGCUGCGCCGCGCGCGUGCUCUCCGGCCCUGCGAGGGCGCGCGGCGGGCGCGGAGGCGCCGGGCCGCGAGGUGGGCGGCUUCGCGCUCACCGGGUCCUCUCCUCCCCGCUGCUACGGAGCUGCUGAAGUUCCAGAGGGUGGGCCUCUCGGCUCCUCGGGGUGCAGUCCUCACCUUCAAAGUGAAGCCCAGCCGAGGCAGCACAAAACAGACAAGUCUGCCUUUUCCCUUCCUCCCGCCGCCCACACCUGCGUCCACCAACUCCUGACACGGCGACCUCUGGUUGGAGGAUUCAUCCAGUCAGCAGGGAACGCGGGGAAUGUUCUUGUUCGCGGCCGCUCUGCCCCAGGAUCCCGGAGCUUCGCAGAACUGGAACUCUGAGAACGGUGAGGCAGAGAAACACCCAGGGAAUUCGGGAAGGGGCACUUUCGCCCCCACGCCGAGCUUCCCUUCCUGCUCUGGACCUGCCGGCCAGGGUCGUUCUCGGUUGCCCAGGCUGCCCAGCACCCGUCGCGCGCGCGGGCCCCACUGCCGCCACCGCGCCCCCCUGCGCGUCGCCCCCACGCUCCCCGGGGCCGCCCAGCGGGGCAGCUGUG